rnacentral:rRNA from 1 species
GAUGCAACCUCGAAGAACCUUACCUGGUCUUGACAUAUCUAGAAUCCUGCAGAGAUGCGGGAGUGCCUUCGGGAAUUAGAAUACAGGUGCUGCAUGGCUGUCGUCAGCUCGUGUCGUGAGAUGUUGGGUUAAGUCCCGCAACGAGCGCAACCCUUGUCCUUAGUUACCAGCGGGUUAAGCCGGGAACUCUAAGGAUACUGCCUGUGACAAACUGGAGGAAGGCGGGGACGACGUCAAGUCAUCAUGGCCCUUACGACCAGGGCUACACACGUGCUACAAUGGUAGGUACAGAGGGCAGCUACACAGCGAUGUGAUGCGAAUCUCAAAAAGCCUAUCGUAGUCCAGAUUGGAGUCUGCAACUCGACUCCACGAAGUAGGAAUCGCUAGUAAUCGCGGAUCAGAAUGCCGCGGUGAAUACGUUCCCGGGCCUUGUACACACCGCCCGUCACACCAUGGGAGUUGAUUGCACCAGAAGUGGA